ensembl:rRNA 5S_rRNA 5S ribosomal RNA
GCUUACGGCCAUACCAGCCUGAAUACGCCCGAUCCCGUCUGAUCUCGGAAGCUAAGCAGGGUCGGGCCUGGUUAGUACUUGGAUGGGAGACCGCCUGGGAAUACCAGGUGCUGUAAGCU